GACGGAAGGUGCAAGCGUUGCUCGGAAUCACUGGGCGUAAAGGGUGCGUAGGCGGCUUGGUAAGUUGGGUGUGAAAGCCCCGGGCUCAGCCCGGGAAGGGCACUCGAAACUGCCGAGCUGGAGUGCCGGAGGGGAGAGUGGAAUUCCUGGUGUAGCGGUGAAAUGCGCAGAUAUCAGGAGGAACACCGGUGGCGAAGGCGGAUCUCUGGGCCUUACCUGACGCUCAGGCACGAAAGCUAGGGGAGCGAACAGG
rnacentral:rRNA from 1 species